GACGAACGCUGGCGGCGUGCCUAAUACAUGCAAGUAGAACGCUGAAGGAGGAGCUUGCUUCUCUGGAUGAGUUGCGAACGGGUGAGUAACGCGUAGGUAACCUGCCUGGUAGCGGGGGAUAACUAUUGGAAACGAUAGCUAAUACCGCAUAACAGUAGAUAUCGCAUGAUAUCUACUUGAAAGGUGCAAUUGCAUCACUACCAGAUGGACCUGCGUUGUAUUAGCUAGUUGGUGAGGUAACGGCUCACCAAGGCGACGAUACAUAGCCGACCUGAGAGGGGGAUCGGCCACACGGGGACUGAGACACGGCCCAGACUCCUACGGGAGGCAGCAGUAGGGAAUGUGCGACAAUGGACGGAAGUCUGACCGAGCAACGCCGCGGGAGGGAAGAAGGUUUUCGGAUCGUAAAGCUCUGUUGUAAGGGAAGAACGGGUGUGAGAGUGGAAAGUUCACACUGUGAGGGUAUUUUACAAGAAAGGGACGGCAAACUACGG
rnacentral:rRNA from 1 species